AGAAUCUUGCAGCCUCCAGCGACAUGACACCUAACCGUAAUUUCUAAUCUUGUGGCUAAUUUGUUAGUCCUACAAAGGCAGUCUAGUCCCCAGGCAAGAAGGGGUUUUGUUUUGGGAAAGGGCUGUUAUUCUCUUUGUAUCAAACUAUAAACUAUUAAUAUAAACUAAAUUCCUCCCAAGGGGAGUUCAGCCUACACCCAGGAAUGCACAAGGACAGCUUGGAGCUUAGAAGCAAGUGGAGUUGGUUCAUCUCUUUCACUGGCUCAUAAUUUUGCAACGGCGGUUUCAUCUCUACCCUGACAAUACCUUUUAGUUUUCUUACCCACUGGGGUCGAGACUUAAUUGAAGACCUCAGACGGACAGCAUAACACGGAACCUGAGACCUUGAUUUGCGGGGACAGGCUUAAAGUGUAUUCUGGAGUUGGUGCCCCCACCCCAGGGGCCGGCUCAGAGGGUUCACUUUCCAGCCUAACGGCAGGGGAACCAGAGGCUGCCGACCUGGAUCUCACCUUGAUGGAGGUCUUGUCACCUUCCUCCUUGGCUGGAGAGACAGACUGUGGAUGCUCUCCUGCUGGCCACCCAAAAACAACAAACAGACAAACAAAUAUGAAUGAGGAAAACUUGAAGAGGCCCCACGUGCCAGAGGUGGGACAGCUUGAGAUUUGGUGAGGAUAAUUGCAGUGGCUCAAAACCCAUAAAGAAGUUUAAGUCCAUGAGUUCACCGUAAUCUGAAACAAAAACAAAAACAAAAACAAAUUGAUCAUCUUUGGAGGCUAACAAUCAAUUCAUUAUCUAGAGACAGACAGAGGCUCACUAGUGGCACGAUCUUGGCUGAUUGCAUCUUCCACCUCCUGGGUUCAAGAGAUUCUUGUGCCUUAGCUUCCUGAGUAGCUAAGAUUACAGAUCACAAGCAAUCAGGCUGAUCCCGCCUGAGCCCUGAGCUCCCUGGGACCCAGCAGCAGCUGUGCAUUGGCACGUGGUGCCCUGUGUCUGAUCAGCUGACUCCUCAGGCAAAACCUGCACCAUUUUCACCAGAAUUGCAGAUGUCCUCAGUGUCAUUACAAAGUUCCUAAGUCAUGACCAUUCUGUCCUGUGGAACCAGGCUGGACUAAGCUCCCAUUUCUUUAAGCCAUCCUGUCCCCUGCAGGGACUUCCAAGGUGGAGCUGAUGAGCAAUAGUUAUGAGUCAUUGGAGGAGACAUCCCAGAGGCGCCAGCUCCCCUCUGCCCUAAACUGAAAUUAAGACCUGGUGCUCUGGGUGGGGCCCCUGGAAGGGGAUGUGCAACUCAGAGGGGACCUUCUCCACCUCCACCCAGGAGACCCCAGAGGGACCAUGGCAGAGCCGGAGCCCUCUUUUUUUUUGUUCGUUUUUUAUUUUAUUAUUAUUAUACUUUAAGUUUUAGCCCUCUUUUAAAAACCAAAUGAAAAUAAGCAAAAGAAGCCAAUCGUCUCUGUGAAAUGUCCAGAAGAGGGAACUCUGUAGAGACAGAGAGGAUAUUAUUGGCUGCCGGAGGCUGGGAAUGGGAAGGUGAGGGGCCUGGGGAGGUGAUGGUUAAAAGAUUCUUCUUUGUGGUGAUGAAAUUGUCUUAAAAUGGACUGUGGUGAUAGUUGUGCAACUUGGUGAAUAUAUAAGUUAUUGAAUUGUACACUUUAAAUGGGUGAAUUGUAUGGUGUGUGAAACAUAUCUCAAUAAAGCUGUUAUUUGAAAAAUAAAUAAGUAAAUA
rnacentral:lncRNA from 1 species